rnacentral:lncRNA from 1 species
UGUACCUUAGUCAUAGGGUUGUUUGGUUUGGUUAACUCACUUUGUCAAGUCACACCUUAAUCAUACCACAAUUUGUAAGCAUUGUGUUCAAUUGAUUGCCACAAAUGUAACAUGCCAUACGUUAGUAGCACCUGAACCCACACAUCUACACUCAUAUUUUUGUCUAAUCUUAUCAUACUUGUGGCCAACAAGUUGUUAGCUAUGCUUUGUAUGGCAUGCCACACAUCUGGUAAAGUGU